rnacentral:rRNA from 1 species
GUCUUGAAAAUUAAAAAAUUUGGCGGUAUUUUAGUCUAUUCAGAGGAACCUGCCCUAUGAUUGAUGGUCCACGAGUCUUUUUACUUAUAUUAAUAGUUUGUAUAUCGCCGUAGUUUGAAUAUUUUUUAAAAAUUAUAAUGUUCAUAAUCUUUUAAUAAAGAGGAAAUCAGGUCAAGGUGUAGCUUAUAUAUAAGAAGAGGUGGGUUACAAUAAUUAUAAUUAAACGGAUUAGUAAAUUAAAAUUUUCUAAGAAGGUGGAUUUGAGGGUAAUAUUAUUAAGAUUAAUAAUAUGAUUCUAGCUCUAAAAUAUGCACAUAUCGCCCGUCGCUUUCAUUAUAAAAUGGAAUAAGUCGUAACAAAGUAGGGGUACUGGAAAGUGUUCCUAGAAAGUCAAUCUAGAGCUUGUUAAAGCAUUUUAGUUACAUUAAAAAGUUUAUUGUAAAUUCAAUAUAGUUUGAAUUUAGAAUUUUAUUUAAAGUUUUAGUUUAAUAUUAUUUGAAAAAAUUAUUUUUAUGUUUUAUUAAUAUUUAUGAAUAAAUUUAGGUAAUUAUAGAGAAAUAGUAUUGUGAAAGAAUAUUUUAUAUUAUUAGAAGAAGAUUUUAAUUUUUGUACCUGG